rnacentral:lncRNA from 1 species
UAGGAACUGUGGGGCCAGGCAGCUUUGGGAUGAUGCUGCUGGAAGCGUGGGGCGCCCGUGGGAGGGACCCGUGCCAGGUUCCAUGCUGUGACAGGGCUGCUUCGAGCAAGGAGAAACCAAGAGUGGGAACUUAGAAGGUUUCAGGGCAGUUUUAUGUGGCAUGACAUCCAGGGCACGACCAGGGGCACGUCCACGUGGCUUGGUGAUAGGAUCACAGAAGUGGCUGGGUCGGAUUUAACUUGAACAGAUAAAGAGGCCCAUGUGGGGGUGUCCCCGCAGGUAGUCUGGGGGCCCUGCUCUUGGCUGCAUCUCGGAACACCCCACAGACACGCAGGCUGUGACCUGGAGGCUUCUCCAUGGACCCCCGAGGGUCUCAGAAAUCGACGGCCAGUCUCCGUGGAGUCAGGCGGUUCCCACAGAACCUCGGGAAUCUUCUCAUCUCUCUGGCCAUUCUCCUCCCUCAGAAACAAUGAUUAAAGCCCGCUUUCCAGGCCCGGGAGGCCCAGGAGCAUGAGCAAGUCUGUCCACCACCACGGGGGACGUUGAAGCUGCUCUGUUUGGUGCCAGAGCACAACUCUACGGGUCUUAAUGUAGCAGGCAGCCUCUGCUGUGUAAGAAAUCUCCCCCAGACUUAGUGACUUAAAUGGCAAAGUGUUGGUUUUCAUGAAUCCGAGGGCUGACUGGGCUUUGUUUGGCAUUCCUUCUGGUCUGGGCCAGAAUCAGCUGUUCUGGCCUGGCGUGGCUCAUGCAUCUGGGUAUCUGCUGGGCUGGCUGGCACAGUUGGGGUCACCGUCUAGGUGGUCUCGUGAUACCCAGCAGGCCUCCCUGGAUUUGUUCAGAUGAUGAGGGUUGGUCCCAGGUAGGAGAGUCACCCCAGUGGGCCUGUGCUCCUCAAACCUCUGCUGAUGUGAUGCUGCUAACAGCCCAGCAGCUCUCGUGGCUAUUUCUGCAUUUAAGGAAGACAGACGAGACCAAAUGACAGUGUCUGCUCCUGGCCCAGAGGAGCUGCUCACUAAAUAGCUGUUGAAUGGAUGUUGGCUCAGGAGGCCUUCAGUUUUCCUUCUCUUCACAUAGUUGAGGCUAACAUGUUCGAAAUACACUCCUCCCAGAUUCUGGUUCUGAUUGUGCAUGGCCUUGGGUGCCCAAAACGCUUACUCAUCUGUUUACUCUGUCAUCAUGGAAGAAGCCAGCAGAGUCCAGCGGCCUCAGUCAGAGCCUCAUAGAAGCUUUGUUUCCCUCAUAGAAGCAACCGCUGGUGUAGACCAGACACUCAGUCUUCACUCACUGUUGGGUUGUUUAGACAACACCAGCUGGUUUCAGUUCCACCCAGGUAGUCACACAUGACAUUGUGCGUAAGGAGUAAGGGAGUAAAGAUCCGCCACUGACAUUGUUGGGUGAAGAAUGGCUCUAUCAGGCAUACAUCUGGAGAAGAUUCUAAUUUGAAAAGAUAUAUGCACCCCAGUGUUCACAGCAACACCACUCACAACAGCCAGGACAUGGCGGCAACCUGAAUGUCCAUGGACAGAUGAAUGGAUAAAGACAUGGUGCAUACACACAAUGGAAUAUUACUCGGCCAUAAAAAAGAGUGAAAUAAUGCCAUUUGCAGCAACAUAGAUGCAACUAGAGAUGAUCAUACUAAGUGAAGUAAGUCAGAGAAAGACAAAUAUCAUAUGAUAUCCCUUAUAUGUGAAAUAUAAAAAGAGGAUAUAAAUGAAUUUAUUUAUAAAAUAGAAAUAGAUCUACACUCUAGGAAACAAGCUUAUAGUUACCAAAGAGGAAAUGGGGGGGUGAUAAAUUAGGAAUUUGGAAUUAUACACAUGCCUAUAUAUAAAAUAGAUAGUCAACAAGGACCUACUAUAGAGUAUGGAGAAUUAUACUCAAUAUUUUAUAAUUUUAUAAGGGAAAAGAAUCUGACAAAGAAUAUGUGUAACUGAAAAAAUAAUAUACAUGUAUAUCUGAAUCACUUUGUUGUACACCUAAAACUAACACAUUAUAAACUAUACUUCAAUUUUUUUCUUUUCUUUCCUUUUUCUGCCAUUUCUUGGGCUGCUCCCGUGGCACAUGGAGGUUCCCAGGCCAGGGGUUGAAUCAGAGCUGCAGCCGCUGGCUUAUGCCAGAGCCACAGCAACUCGGGAUCAAGCCAUCUGCAACCUACACCACAGCUCAUGGCAACGCCAGGUCCUUAACCCACUGAGCAAGGCCAGGGAUCAAACCUGCAACCUCAUGGUUCCUAGUUGGAUUUGUGAACCACUGAGCCACAACGGGAACUCCCUUUUUUUUUUUUUUUUUUUUGGUCUUUUGUCUCUUUAGGGCUGCACCUGCAGCAUAUGGAGUUUCCCAGGCUACAGCUGCCGACCUACACCACAGCCACAGCAACACGGAAGCCAAGCCGCAUCUGUGACCUACACCACAGCUCAUGGCAAUGCUGGAUCCUUAACCUAAUGAGUGAGGCCUGGGAUUGAACCUUAAUCCUCAUGAAUCCAAGUCAAAUUCAUUUCUGCUGAGCCAUGACAGGAACUUCAAUUUUUUAUUAAAAAAAAAAAAAAAGAAUGGAAAAACUUGAGCUUGCAGAAAAAGUUUUAUUACCUUUUCUAAUAAACCUCAUGUUUCCAGAAACAAAGAAAAGAAAAACGGCUCCAUCACGGCACCGGGGUGGGUGGGCAUCCAGUGGUGUGCUGCCUGGGUGGGGGGCUCUGGCGCCACCCGGCUUACGUACAGGUUUCUGGACAGGAUCUUAUUUUCCAAGCUCCGUGGCUGAGUGGUCCAGGCAUUCAGCCCCGUAACAGGUCUCAGCUCCCAGCUGGAGAGAGUGAGGCUUCUCUCCUAGAAGCUCUUCCAGUUGGGGCCCAUCACAGGCAACCCAUGCCGACCACUGUCACCCUGGAUUCUGGAGGGAACUCUUGGGCCGGGCAAUCUGAGGGACCUGGGAGCGUCUGUGUGAUGUCCAGCUGGAUGCUUGUUUCCAUGGCGGAAUUCCUGCCCUUCUUCACAGCAUCCUCAGCGCAUUGCUGGGUCUCCGAGCACCAGCCCCACUAUCCCUCCGAAUCUUCCCUCUCUUUAUGUGUGGGGGUUCACCAGAGGAUUCUGGGGCUGAUCUAGGAAGAAAGGUAUGACCACAAGUGGCUGCCACACACAGCAGGCUUCAGGAGAUGGCUCUUGGGCAUGCUUGCCUGAGAGACAAGGCCCUCCCAGCAUGAAACUGUACAGGGUUCUGGUGGGCACUGGGGCACCACCCAGAAAGGAAGGAAGGAAAGGAAAUUCCCUGGGAGGGGCUCCUUGAGGGGCUCAUGUGCCCUGCUACAUGGUGGGGUCCCCAGGUCUGCGGAUUGAAGGCCCAUCGCUGCUCGGGGGCAUGUAACCAGGCGCUGGCUCAUCUGUGGCCUGGGGUAGCGGGCGAGGUCAUGGGUCCUGCAAGGCAGACAGGUUCUAAAUGACUAAAAUGCUGCUUGUUUGCCUAUUUUAAAAGUAAUUGGGGAGUUGCUGUCGGGGCUCAGUGGUUAGCAAAUCCGACUAGGAACCAUGAGGUUGCGGGUUCGAUCCCUGGCCUUGCUCAGUGGGUUAACGAUCCGGCGUUGCCCUGAGCUGUGGUGUAGGUCGCAGACGCGGCUCAGAUCCCACGUUGCUGUGGCUGUGGUGUAGGCAGGCAGCUACAGCUCUGAUUAGACCCCUAGCUGGGAGCCUCCAUAUGCUGCAGGAGCAACCCUAAAAAUG